AGUCUAAGGCUGAUGAGGAGACGGGUGAGUUAGUGUCUACUUAUUGUUUGUUUGCCAAUCGUGUUUGAUAGAUAUUUGAUUUUUGUUGAUUUAUUAAGGCGUGCAUUAGAGUUUGAAAGUAGUAUAAUUGUAUAUGCUAGUGAGUUCUUAGCCGGUAAUGGACAUUGGAGAUGUUUACUACGGAUUAUUGUAUUAUGCUUUUUGUGGUUGAUCAGUGGGAAUGAAUUAGUUAUAGUUUAAUAACACGUGAACGUGGCUUAUAGGUUAGUUAGAAUUAGGAUGUGCUUUUUAAUUUUGGAGUUUGAUGCUGUGAAGGGAGAUUUAUUGUUAUGGAGUUAACACAAGGUGAACUUGUAAAGAGCUUGUCUUUCGGUAUGUAUUGCUACCUCAGUAUUAUGAUGAUGGGUUAUAAUUUUUCCCCCCCCAGAAAGUGAGAGCCUGAAAUGAUUAUCUUUGGUAUUAUACUGACUACUAAGGGAAAGAGUAUUAAGCUCAUGUUUGGGGGUGGUGGGGAAUUUUAGCUCAUUCUAAUGUAAUGUAAUUGGAUCCUACUAUCCUAGUUUGUAAUUCACUAAUUUGUCUGAUUUUGAAUGCUUUAUAGGUAAGAGGUUUUGUUCUUUUGGAGGACCCUUAAAUGUUAGACAUGCACAGUUGAAUUGGAUCAUUGUAACUAUGUGCUAAUGGGUUGUGUAGGUUAUGUGUCAUCUUAUCAACAUGGGAACUUUGAAAUAACCCUUUUUUAGCAGUCUAGGCCAGACAUUGCCAAUAUUUAUCUUUUACUUAUCAAAAUGGGGGGAAAAGAUGACCACUGGAAAGGUAACAUUACUCUUGAUGAAAUUGGAUGUUUGAAAGGCCUCCUAAAUAGAAGCUACAUUGUGGAUGCUUUUUACUGAUUCUAUAUUACAUUAUGAUUUAUGAUAUGAAAUUAACAAACAAUUUUCCUUCCCUUGGCCUCCCUCGGCCUCCCUCCCUCUCCCACCAAAAGGAAAAGAAAAGAAAAGAAA
rnacentral:misc_RNA from 1 species